ACCAUGCAGUCGAACGGGAUCCGUCAAGCUUGCUUGGCGGUGAGAGUGGCGAACGGGUGAGUAAUGCGUGACCAACCUGCCCCAUGCUUCGGAAUAGCUCCUGGAAACGGGUGGUAAUGCCGGAUGCUCCGCAUCAUCGCAUGAUGGUGUGGGAAAGGGUUUACCGGCAUGGGAUGGGGUCGCGUCCUAUCAGCUUGUUGGCGGGGUGAUGGCCUGCCAAGGCUUCGACGGGUAGCCGGCCUGAGAGGGCGACCGGCCACAUUGGGACUGAGAUACGGCCCAGACUCCUACGGGAGGCAGCAGUGGGGAAUAUUGCACAAUGGGCGAAAGCCUGAUGCAGCGACGCCGCGUGCGGGAUGACGGCCUUCGGGUUGUAAACCGCUUUUGAUUGGGAGCAAGCGAGAGUGAGUGUACCUUUCGAAUAAGCACCGGCUAACUACGUGCCAGCAGCCGCGGUAAUACGUAGGGUGCAAGCGUUAUCCGGAUUUAUUGGGCGUAAAGAGCUCGUAGGCGGUUCGUCGCGUCUGGUGUGAAAGUCCAUCGCUUAACGGUGGAUCGGCGCCGGGUACGGGCGGACUGGAGUGCGGUAGGGGAGACUGGAAUUCCCGGUGUAACGGUGGAAUGUGUAGAUAUCGGGAAGAACACCGAUGGCGAAGGCAGGUCUCUGGGCCGUCACUGACGCUGAGGAGCGAAAGCGUGGGGAGCGAACAGGAUUAGAUACCCUGGUAGUCCACGCCGUAAACGGUGGAUGCUGGAUGUGGGGCCCGUUCCACGGGUUCCGUGUCGGAGCUAACGCGUUAAGCAUCCCGCCUGGGGAGUACGGCCGCAAGGCUAAAACUCAAAGAAAUUGACGGGGGCCCGCACAAGCGGCGGAGCAUGCGGAUUAAUUCGAUGCAACGCGAAGAACCUUACCUGGGCUUGACAUGUGCCGGACGGCCGCGGAGACGCGGUUUCCCUUCGGGGCCGGUUCACAGGUGGUGCAUGGUCGUCGUCAGCUCGUGUCGUGAGAUGUUGGGUCAAGUCCCGCAACGAGCGCACCC
rnacentral:rRNA from 1 species